rnacentral:rRNA from 1 species
AACGAGGUCUCCGUUGGUGAACCAGCGGAGGGAUCAUUAUCGAGUUAUUCAACUCCCAAACCCUAUGUGAACUUACCACUUGUUGCUUCGGCGCGCGCUUCGGCGCCGCCGAGGACACUUAAACUCUUUGUUUUUAUAAGCAUUUCUGAGUGGCCGAAAGGCAAAAAUACAAAUGAAUCAAAACUUUCAACAACGGAUCUCUUGGUUCUGGCAUCGAUGAAGAACGCAGCGAAAUGCGAUAAGUAAUGUGAAUUGCAGAAUUCAGUGAAUCAUCGAAUCUUUGAACGCACAUUGCGCCCGCCAGCAUUCUGGCGGGCAUGCCUGUUCGAGCGUCAUUUCAACCCUCGAGCCCGACUCUUUUGAGGACGGCUCGGCGUUGGGGGACGGCAGACUCCCCCCGGCAUCUCGCCGGGGACGCCGCCCCCGAAAUCUAGUGGCGGCCCUCCGAGGCGACCUCUGCGUAGUAACUUGUUCUCGCACCGGAAAGCUCAGAGCGGCCACGCCGUAAAACCCCAACUUUUUUCAGGUUGACCUCGAAUCAGGUAGGACUACCCGCUGAACUUAAGCAUAUCAAUA